rnacentral:piRNA from 1 species
UAAGACUUCCUAGAAUCUUUAUCUUUUCCUC